CCGUAACUAUAACGGUCCUAAGGUAGCGAAAUUCCUUGUCGGGUAAGUUCCGACCCGCACGAAAGGCGUAACGAUCUGGGCGCUGUCUCAACAAGAGACUCGGUGAAAUCAUAGUACCUGUGAAGAUGCAGGUUACCCGCGACAGGACGGAAAGACCCCGUGGAGCUUUACUGUAGCUUGAUAUUGAGCACUGGUGACACAUGUACAGGAUAGGUAGGAGACGAAGAAGCCAGGACGCCAGUCUUGGUGGAGUCGCUGUUGGGAUACUACCCUUGUGUUACUGGGGUUCUAACCCGUGGCCAUGAUCUGGUCAGGGAACAGUGUCAGGUGGGCAGUUUGACUGGGGCGGUCGCCUCCCAAAGAGUAACGGAGGCGCCCAAAGGUUCCCUCAGAAUGGUUGGAAAUCAUUCGAAGAGUGUAAAGGCAGAAGGGAGCUUGACUGCGAGACCUACAAGUCGAGCAGGGACGAAAGUCGGGCUUAGUGAUCCGGCGGUACCGAAUGGAAGGGCCGUCGCUCAACGGAUAAAAGCUACCCCGGGGAUAACAGGCUGAUCUCCCCCAAGAGUUCACAUCGACGGGGAGGUUUGGCACCUCGAUGUCGGCUCAUCGCAUCCUGGGGCUGUAGUCGGUCCCAAGGGUUGGGCUGUUCGCCCAUUAAAGCGGUACGCGAGCUGGGUUCAGAACGUCGUGAGACAGUUCGGUCCCUAUCCGUCGUGGGCGUAGGAAAUUUGAGAGGAGCUGUCCUUAGUACGAGAGGACCGGGAUGGACACACCGCUGGUGUACCAGUUGUUCUGCCAGGAGCAUAGCUGGGUAGCUACGUGUGGACGGGAUAAACGCUGAAAGCAUCUAAGCGUGAAGCCCCCCUCAAGAUGAGAUUUCCCAUUCGAAAGAAGUAAGAUCCCUUGAAGACGACAAGGUAGAUAGGUCAGAAGUGGAAGUGUGGUGACACAUGGAGCGGACUGAUACUAAUCGAUCGAGGACUUAACCAAA
rnacentral:rRNA from 2 species